ensembl:lncRNA LINC01518 long intergenic non-protein coding RNA 1518
GGAGUGGUAAGAUGGCGGACGAGCAGCUGCAGCAGCUCCGUGCGGUGCUACAGGGGGAGGGGAAGGUGGUUUCUCCUGACACAAGCUGGAGGCCGGAGCCUGUGGCACCCUGGCUUGCCUCACUGAAGCUGGUGGCUGUGACAGGGACUGCACGGCUGCUGGAGUGGUAGAAAGGCAGCCCAGGUAGGAGCCGCAGCCCCAGUGGGCCCAACGGUUCCUGUGGGUGGGGAGCCAGCCACCUUGGAGUCUCCAGUUCACUGAAACCUGUCACUGCCACCCAGUGGCCACCAUGACAAGGAAGCCAUCAUUCUGUAGAAGGCAGUGACGGAACAGUACCAGCAGAAAUUGAAGGACCAGCAGAAGGGAUCAUGGCCAAAGUUGCAGUGUCCCCCCGCUCGUUGAAGAUGAGGAGUUCUCAGAGAGCGGGAUGUUUGUGACAUUCCUCAUGUCAGCUCUCGAGUCCAUGACUCUCACUCGGUCGUCCAGGCUGGAGUGCAGUGGCACCAUCUUGGCUCAUUGCAACAUCUGGCUCCCAGGUUCAAUCGAUUCUUCUGCCUCAGCCUUCUGAGUAGCUGGAAUUAACAGGUGUAUGCCAACUUA